rnacentral:rRNA from 1 species
AUUGAACGCUGGCGGCAUGCCUUACACAUGCAAGUCGAACGCGAAAGCGGGGCAACCCGCAAGCAGAGUGGCGAACGGGUGAGUAAUACAUCGGAACAUAUCCAGUAGCGGGGGAUAACCUGUCGAAAGAUAGGCUAAUACCGCAUACGACCUACGGGUGAAAGCGGAGGACCGAAAGGCUUCGCACUAUUGGAGUGGCCGAUGUCGGAUUAGCUAGUUGGCGGGGUAACGGCCCACCAAGGCGACGAUCCGUAGCUGGUCUGAGAGGACGGCCAGCCACACUGGAACUGAGACACGGUCCAGACUCCUACGGGAGGCAGCAGUGGGGAAUUUUGGACAAUGGGCGCAAGCCUGAUCCAGCCAUGCCGCGUGAGUGAAGAAGGCCUUCGGGUUGUAAAGCUCUUUCAGCCGGGAAGAAAACGCAUGGGUUAAUACCCUGUGUGGAUGACGGUACCGGAAUAAGAAGCACCGGCUAACUACGUGCCAGCCGCCGCCGUAAAAC